GGAGAGGUGGCCGAGUGGUCGAAGGCGCAUGAUUGGAAUUCAUGUAUACGGUAACCCCGUAUCGAGGGUUCGAAUCCCUCUCUCUCCGCCA
rnacentral:tRNA from 1 species